UACAGAGGUCCCAAGCGUUGUUCGGAUUCACUGGGCGUAAAGGGUGCGUAGGUGGCCAGGUAAGUUCGGUGUGAAAGCUCGGAGCUCAACUCCGAAAAGGCAUUGAAUACUAUCUGGCUGGAGGGUCGGAGGGGAGACUGGAAUUCUCGGUGUAGCAGUGAAAUGCGUAGAGAUGUGGAGGAACACCGAUGGCGAAGGCAGGUCUCUGGGCUGACACUGACGCUCAUGCACGAAAGCGUGGGGAGCAAACAGG
rnacentral:rRNA from 1 species